CCUACGGGAGGCAGCAGUGAGGAAUAUUGGUCAAUGGCCGUAAGUCUGAACCAGCCAAGUAGCGUGAGGGAAGACUGCCCUAUGGGUUUUAAACCUCUUUUAUGCGGGGAUAAAAGUUUCUACUUGUCGAUGUUUGCAGCUACCGCAUGAAUAAGGACCGGCUAAUGCCGUGCCAGCAGCCGCGGUAAUACGGAGGGUCCGGGCGUUAUCCGGAAUUACUGGGUUUAAAGGGAGCGUAGGCCGGUCUUUAAGUGGGACGUGAAAUUUUGUGGCUCAACCAUGGGAGUGCAGCGAGAACUGGAGAACUUGAGUGCGGGGGAGGGAGGCGGAAUUCGUAGUGUAGCGGUGAAAUGCUUAGAUAUCACGAAGAACACCGAUUGCGAAGGCAGCCUGCCGGAGCGUUACUGACGCUGAGGCUCGAAAGCGUGGGUAUCGAACAGGAUUAGAUACCCCUGUAGUC
rnacentral:rRNA from 1 species